rnacentral:rRNA from 1 species
UACGUAGGGUGCGAGCGUUAAUCGGAAUUACUGGGCGUAAAGCGUGCGCAGGCGGCGCGUUUAAGACAGGUGUGAAAGCCCCGAGCUUAACUUGGGAAUUGCGCUUGUGACUGGCGUGCUGGAGUGUGGCAGAGGGAGGUGGAAUUCCACGUGUAGCAGUGAAAUGCGUAGAGAUGUGGAGGAACACCGAUGGCGAAGGCAGCCUCCUGGGCCAGCACUGACGCUCAUGCACGAAAGCUGGGGGAGCAAACCGG